rnacentral:rRNA from 1 species
GACGAACGCUGGCGGCAUGCCUAAUACAUGCAAGUUGAACGAUGAUAUUCUCUGCUUGCAGAGAAUUGAAGAGUAGCGAACGGGUGAGUAACACGUGGGGAACCUGCCCAUGAGAGGGGGAUAACAUUCGGAAACGGAUGCUAAUACCGCAUAAUGCUUUGGACCGCCUGGUCCAGAGACGAAAGACGGCUUUUGCUGUCACUCAUGGAUGGCCCCGCGCCGUAUUAGCUAGUUGGUGAGGUAAUGGCUCACCAAAGCUGUGAUACGUAGCCGACCUGAGAGGGUGAUCGGCCACACUGGGACUGAGAUACGGCCCAGACUCCUACGGGAGGCAGCAGUAGGGAAUCUUCCACAAUGGGCGAAAGCCUGAUGGAGCAAUGCCGCGUGAAUGAAGAAGGUCUUCGGAUCGUAAAGUUCUGUUAUUAGAGAAGAACAAGUCAAGGAGUAACUGUCUUGACUUUGACGGUACCUAACCAGAAAGUCACGGCUAACUACGUG